UCUGUUCAGGGUCGACUGGGGGAUGACUGAGACGAGUGCGGACUCGUACGGUUGUUUCGGCCAACAUGAUUCGAACGAGACGCAUGGGGCGGAGGGGGACAUCGAGACUCUUCAGCUCAUCCCCCUGCGUGGGGGGGAAAACUCGGAAAUCGGUUCUGACAAGCCGGAAGCCGACGAGUUCUAUCCGAGCUGGUACUUCGGGGACGCCGGCGGCGAACAAGGAGCGUCCCUCGAGCUCACCCUCGGCUCCUUCCCAACCGCCGAUGGCUUCCUCCGGGGGUCCGGCUCCUCUGGCAUAGGUGGGCUCUGUCCCGGUUCUUAACCGGCCGAGACAUUUCGCUUCGGUGCAUGUCGAGAAUCCGGUGUUCGAGUUUUUGAUCGACUUAGGCAUCGACCACCUCUCUCGCUUCUCCUUUCUUCGGAAUGGAGACACAGAACAGACAAUAUAAAUAUUUGUUUUUUCUUCGGAAUGGAGACACAGAACAGACAAUAUAAAUAUUUGUUCUGUUCCUUAACGUUCCGUGGUUUACCACGGAACGCCGUCGCCCGACCUCGUUGCAGCUCCCCCCGAUUUCACCCCUGCUCCCUCCAUCUCACCCUCUCGCUGCUUCCCCUCUCAUUUUCUAUUGCUCUCUUCUCUUUCUCUCUUCCUCUUCCUACCUCUUUCUUCCUCCCCACUCUUUCUUUUCUUCCUCUGUUGGCCCCUUUUUCUGCAGUUGUUAGCCUAGGGUUCAACUAUGAAUGAGAUGUGCUCAAUUCUGGACAGUAUUGCAGUUGCAAGGAGGUGGAUGAUUUUUAUCCCUCUGAAAGAGUAAUGUGGACAGUUCGGUCUGAACAGUUGCGCAUGCUCGUUUCAGUAUUCGGGCCGUCGGUCACUAUUAACACCGUCGUCAUCCCCCAAGAAAAAUGGCCUUCCAAGUGGCAGUGAAGAAACCACACACCUGCAUUGUCACUCGUCCCGAUAAGUCAGUCGGCUAUAUUCAAUUGUGGCUUGUUAUCAUAUUCAAUUGUGUUCCAUAUUUUUUUGUAUGAAAAUUUUACAAAAUUUUAAGGAAGCCCACUCAAACUCCUGGUUUGUUUAUAUGUUUAUCAUAUUCAAUUUGAGCAUCUCAUUUCUAUCGUUU